rnacentral:lncRNA from 10 species
CAAUGAUGAUAACAUAGUUCAGCAGACUAACGCUGAUGAGCAAUAUUAAGUCUUUCGCUCCUAUCUGAUGUAUCUGGCGGUAACAUUCUAGUUUAUGCCCCGAAAAGGGGAAUAUAGCCAUUCUAUAAUGUUUGGAGAUUUUGGAUUACUCCUAAUUGUAUGCAAGUUGUCUUACUGUGUAUUGUCCCUUAAUUUCAGGACUCAGAAUUCAUGAUUGAAGAAAUGCAGGUUAGUUUAAACUUUGAAGGAAAUUUUUAAGGUGGCAAAAGGUUUUGGUGGCAUAUACACCUUAAUCUGUAGAUGGGAGUGAUUAGCUGUUUAAAAGUUAAAAUGUGACUGAGAAGGAAAUUGAGUAGGGCAAAUUUUAAAUGGGUAUUAUUUUUCAUCUUCAAACAGGCAGACCUGUUAUCCUAAACUAGGGUUUUUAAUGACCACAACAAGCAAGCAUGCAGCUUACUGCUUGAAAGGGUCUUGCCUCACCCAAGCUAGAGUGCAGUGGCCUUUGAAGCUUACUACAGCCUCAAACUUCUGGGCUCAAGUGAUCCUCAGCCUCCCAGUGGUCUUUGUAGACUGCCUGAUGGAGUCUCAUGGCACAAGAAGAUUAAAACAGUGUCUCCAAUUUUAAUAAAUUUUUGCAAU